rnacentral:rRNA from 1 species
GGGGAAUAUUGGACAAUGGGGGAAACCCUGAUCCAGCAAUGCCGCGUGAGUGAAGAAGGCCUUAGGGUUGUAAAGCUCUUUCGCCCGCGAAGAUAAUGACGGUAGCGGGAGAAGAAGCCCCGGCUAACUCCGUGCCAGCAGCCGCGGUAAUACGGAGGGGGCUAGCGUUGUUCGGAAUUACUGGGCGUAAAGCGUACGUAGGCGGAUGCGCAAGUUGGGGGUGAAAUCCCGGGGCUUAACCUCGGAAUUGCCCUCAAAACUGCACGUCUUGAGACCGAGAGAGGUCAGGGGAACUCCUAGUGUAGAGGUGAAAUUCGUAGAUAUUAGGAAGAACACCAGUGGCGAAGGCGCCUUACUGGCUCGGUACUGACGCUGAGGUACGAAAGCGUGGGGAGCAAACA